GCCCCGGUAGCUCAGUAGGAUAGAGCAGCCGCCUCCUAAGCGGCAGGUCGGACGUUCAAAUCGUCUCCGGGGCGCCA
rnacentral:tRNA from 1 species